UCAAUAAAUGACUCAUCUAGCAGGUGUUUCUGUUAGUAUUUGUAUUAUAUUUGCAUUGUAAAUGUGUUUCACAAAGAAUAAAUGGUAUUGGGGAAAGGAGGUGGCAGUUAGCAGUUGGCAGUUGGCUGGUUGUUCUGUUAGCUGAUUCUUUGGCUGAGAGUGUGGAAGUGUGGUGACUUCAAGCAGACCCUGUCUGGAGGAUUUUUGUGAGAUUUAAGCAAGCUAUUGAUUAAUAACUUAUGCACUCUUAUGAAGGAGUUUUGAAAACAAACAAAGACUAAACCCUCUGUUGGGCUCAAGAGAGAAAAGCACAUUGUAUUCAUAUGAAUAAUACUUGUUGUUCAACUGUUGCCAACCUGACAUGUAAAGAUUUAUCUUCAAGUCUUGGAGAAAAAUCUCUUGGUGAUGAACUGUGCCAGCACCAAUGCGAAAGACAAUCACUACUAGCUUCAAAACAGAUGUUGCAAUGAGAGCCAGAAGCUUGCUUGCAGACCCUGAUUAAAGGUAGCAAGAAUUCGACCCCAUUAAGGACUGCAUGGAAGAUCCAACCAUGUAACUAGAGGAACUGUGAAACAACAUAUGAACCGAUGAAGCAAACCUGUUUCCAAACACUGGUACUCAUCUUUAGAAAUCAAGGCCCCCUGCUGAGCAAGGUCCAAGAGCAGAUCCUCAAGGAGGCAGCUUUACAAAAGCCACUGCUAACUGCCUCUGACAAGCUGCAGUCUGGGUUUCCUGCAUGGUGUGUGGAGCCUGGAUCAAUGGCUUGGAAAUAUUUCUGCUUGCUGCAGUCAAUUGUGCCUUCCAGGCUUGUUAUACCAUGGCUGAGCAAACACAUAAUUUCCAACUUGUCACCUACAAUGGUCUCUUUCUAUUCCCUACCAUUUUGUGCUGACAGCCAGAGAGAGAGAGAGAGAGGGAGGGAAUGGCAGAAAGCAAGGAGACCCAUUCUGCACAGAUUAAGACAUAGUUUUUUAAAGAAAAAUAACCCAGUUGACCCACCAUUUCCAAUUAAAAGGCUUUCUUGUGAGAUGGUUUGAAAAGACAAUUGCCUGUGACCCACAAGAACCUGUUCUAGUCACAGAUGCCAACACUGGACAAAAUGGACCCAAUGGCUGGACUCAGUUGUGUAAUUUAAUAUAACCAUAUACUGAACUUAUCAAAAUGAUCACAGAGGCAAAUUCACUACAGUUCAUGGUAGCAGAUAAUUUUAUCUGUUAUUUCAAUUACCUUUAACGGUCCCCAACAGGACCGGUCUAAGAGGUUUUGCUGUGAAGUGAAAUGUCAAGAUGUCCCUCAAUUCCAUGUUCAGAAGCCAAAUGAACUAGCAGUAGAAGCUUACUUCGCUAUUGGCAAUUGGACAGCUACAAAGCACCAGGCAGCCAAUGUGGCACACACAGUUCUGUCCUUCAUAAUGUCAAUGCUGCCCCCUGCCCUGCACCACCUGCCCCCCGAGACAUCCACCUUGUUCUAAUCUACCUAAUGGUAGGGCCAGCCUUGGCACCUAUGCAGUCAGGGUAGUUAAAUUUUCCUCCUGCUGUGCUGUGCAAGAGCUGCUCAUCAAUAAAUAGUUCCCACAUGGCUGGGAGAAUAUCUAAAGGGCAUCUAUAGUCAACUGCAAUUUAACAGCAGCUACACACUUUAUGUAGUAACAUUGUGUGAAGAGGGAGUUUGCAGGAUGGCAUUUGUUUAAUUGAUAGUCCACUCUUCCUCUGAGGAGCUUGGAGCAGAUUACAGCCAGUUCCCAAGUGUUCUCCCAUCAAAGCAGUUUACAAAGCCAGGCCUGAUUAGCUUAAGGUGGCCUAUCAGCCUUCAGACCAUUCACCAGGUCAAGUUCUGGUAGCCCAGAAGCAGUAAUAAGCAAUUCAAACCACAUAAGAACUACCACAUGUGAAAUAUUCAACCCACUACUCCAAAUAAUUGAAAUACUUUUGGUGAACAAUGCGGGGGAGGGGGCAGAAUCCAAAAGGUAUAGAAGGAGAAACUGUUUUACUUCUUGAUCAGCUUUUCCAGCAUGUCUGAUCCAAGUGCAUUUCAGCACACUUGUUAGCUCAUUUGCUGUCACUAUUAAUCAGGCAUUUGCCUUUUAUGUUGAGGCAAACAAGACUGCAUUGAGAACUAUGCUAACUGAUUAAUUUUUUGUAAAUGAACAUUCCAUUGAUUUUCUUAAUUUGAUGCAUCAAUCAUCCAAGUCCUCAUUCAAGUAAGUGACCAGGGAGGUACUCUUCCCACCUCGGAGUCAAGAUUGGGGAUCUUUGAGAUUGGCAUAAUCAGUCUUGACAGACUUGAACCAUCAUCCUGUUCAGAUGAACUGCAGGAUCUGCCAUUCAAAAAAGUGGGGGGUGGCAAAGAUCUUUAUCACUGUGCUUUGGGGAAUGGAGAAAUGCUUGCUGAAUGGGCAGGAUGUAAUCGAAGGAUGGUUGCUGGUGGUUCUGUCUCAGUGUUCACUACAUGGUGAAUGUGGCUUAUUAGGAUUUUCAGAGAUAUUUAAGGUCAAGUCACAAAACUAUCAGUCCAGGGAAGCCUGAAGGGAAUCAAAUCUGUGAUAUAGAUGGCAACAUGCUGAAGCAGUCAUUUGAUAUAAACUUGUUGCAUCUGAGCAUGGAAACACAAUUAGUGCCGCACGGUUUUCAACAGCAGUCAACCAGAUGUCUUUGGCAGCUCAUACAGAGGGCAUGAAGCAAUGUUCUUCUCUGCAUCAGUGACUAGAAGGUGACUAGCUGUUGGAGGUAUUAAAGGUCCUUUAAGUCCAUAUUUGAUAGCACAGGUCUCUGGGAAAUCAUGCUGCAGCAUUCUGCACCAACUGCAGAUUCCAGAACAAGUGUAAGUGAAGUCCCACAUAAAGUGCAUUGUACUGUAGUAAUCCAAACUUGAAUUAACCAGUGCAUGAUCUACAGCAGCCAAACAAAUGGUCAUGGUUGUUGUAACCAUUGCAGUUGGUAAAAGGUGCUUCUAGUCACAGAAGCUACCUGGGCUUCCAGUGACAAAGAUGAAUUUAGAAGCACCUCCAGGCUGCAAAUUUGCUCCUUCAGAGAGGGUGCAACCCCAUUCAGGGUAGGCAGGUGACCCAUUUCUUGGACAUGGGAACCAAUUUUGUGAAUGGUUUUAUUAACGGAAAGUUGUGUGUUCAUUAUAGUAAUCCAUGCAUUGGUGACCUCAAGGCUAGAUUACUGCAAUGUGCUCUGUGUGGGUUCUGCCCUUGAACCUGGUUUGGGAGCUCCAGCUGGUGCAGAAUGCAGCAGUCAGACUGCUGGUGGUGGUGAAGGGGCUUCUGGCUGAGAACAUGUGACUCCAUUGUUACAAACAUCUGCACCCAACUACUACUGAGCCAGGUUCAAAGUGCCUGUAUUAAUUUACAAAGCCCUGAGCAACAUACCAGCAUACCACUGGGACCACCUGAUCCCAGCUCAAUCACUGCAGGAGCAUUGUUGGCAAGGCUCAUCUGACAGCAACAAGAAUCAGAGCUGUUAAUGUCAUCGGCACAAUAUGAUCUCUGCCAACAGAGAUUCAGCACAUCUUUGGUUUCAACUUGCCUGCUAACCACCACCACCCCACCAGACUUAUGCAGGCAAUUAAGAAUACGUUUUCCCAUAAUAGUUGAUUUCUGGUUUUAACAUUUCAAUAUGGGUUUUAUUGCAUAAUGUUACAUAGAAUUGUUACAAACCACUCAGAUUUUUUUACAAUGAAAAGUGGUGUAUAAAUAUUUUUUAUAAAUAAAUAAAUGUUUGCAGCUUUAAAAUGCAAGGGAGAAGACUAAACUCCAAAUGAGUUUUAGCUGAAAUAAGCUGACAACAGAAAAUUACCCAAAUUAUUAAGAGCUGACAUCUAUGGUAUUAUUUUACUAUCACAGAUGUUCAGGAAGAAUUGAGAAAUUGUCCAGUAAAUGCAAAGCCUAGCAGGAAAUUUGGUGCACAAAGGGGAUGAUUCAAAGCUGUGGUUUUUGGACAGGACAUGGAACAUUUUAUUUUGAGUUACCAGAUGGAGGUAGGGGAGUUAACAGGCACAGUAAGGCAUGAAAACAGGAGAUGCUAGCUAGUUUCAGAGCAUCAGACUCCAGGAGGCAUUCAUGAAAGGAGGACUUACAUAACUUCAUAAAUAGGAAUUAUCCAGUCAUGAAGUUUUAAAGCUUGGCAUCAUAGAGGCUGGGUCUAAAUCAGUGUUGAAACCCACAGACAUGAAAUAUACAGUAUAUUGUUCUGAGUGUUUUGUCAGUUUUUCUUGCUAAAUAAUGAAAUGUCUUAAUCUACACUUGUGUUCCAGUUGAUGUAUCUGCUAUUCCUCACACCUACAGACUGGGGAAGUUGCUGGCUGUUUGGGAGAUGUAGCCUAUUGGCAGCUCUUGAAUUAUCAGUAAUUUUAACCCCUAACACUUGGACGGAUAUCAUCAGAUGACUUUACUGUGACCAUUUAGAUUAGGUAAAAAUCUAAGUGAAAGCAAACACGCACACACACACACACACAGAGAGAGAGAGAGUUCCUAAAACAUCCUUCAUUGUUAAAAACAUAGUAUCAAAAGUGGAUCACUAGCUUGUUGCAAGAGGUAUUGGCUGUCGCAGAGGCUUUCCUGUGUUUCACGGUCAAUGAUGUUAAACAUUUGGCAUGCCUACAACUCCUGAGAGGAACACAUAGAAACCUGUCUGCGUCUUGGCAAACCAUGCCUUUGGACCUGAAGCAGGCCUCAAAAAUUAUGUGCAUAAGUUAGAAGGUGAAUGGAAGGGAAAGGACAUGAAGGAGAGAUUUUCAGCAUUCUAGCAAAGUGCUUUAAUGAAAUAUGGUGAGAACUGAUAUAAUUUUUUUUUAAUAAAAUGUCGCAAUGGGCCCCAAGCCAGGCGAAAACAAAAAUAGAAAGGGAAGGAACAGGAGGAGUACUGUGUGUUCUCUACCCUUCCUGGGUUAAUACCUCAGACUGGCCUUCGAAUUCAGACAACAGAGUUUUCCUUUCCUCAAUAAAGUGACUUAAUACAUUAACUUAUAAAACUGUUAUAUGGAAAAGGACAAUAUUCUUAUGAGUUUGGGAGUGCCAGACCCCUUUAAAUUCCUGGAUCCCGUAAGUGUUAGAAUUUAAUCAAGUCUUGGUAGGUUAGACUGGGUGCAAGGCACCUAAUUUCUGAACCCAGCAAGUGUUAAAAGCUAAUCAUACCAGUCUAGCUUCCUAUGUUCAGGUGAUCACCAUUAAGAGAAUAAAAGAAAGGUGAUGGGGCACUGUGAAAGCAAAGGAGAGGGAGCUCUGUGCCAGACAGCAGAUGGGUAGGGCCCCCUCCCUCAACUCAUGGAUAGUGAUUUCAGAGUUGAAAGUGUGUGUGAGGAAAAAAGCAGCAAGCUGGAGAGAGGGUCAGAGGUCUGUUUGAAUCCAAAGCUGUGACUAUGGGAGAAGAAAGACCCUUUGGGGGCGUUAAUGCUGUGAACCCCUCCAUCAUAGGCUCAGGUUGUAUAUAUAGGCAGUGACUGAUUUACAUGCGUCCAACUGACAUGCGACCAUGCACGCGCACAUCAUGGCAAUCCGACUGUGGCCGGAAAAGGGGCAAAAUGUAGCGUAGCAGUCUUACGUGCACUUUGCCAUCGCAUGCAUUGACCCAGAAUACAACACCCACACACAUUGGGGGUUGCCUAGAUAUGUAAAUAAACUCUAUAUCAUAAAGACACCACAGUCUCCACUCAUUCCCAAAAGGAAACACAAACCAGUUUUCUGACAGGGUUCCAUGUGCACAGCUACAGAGGGUGGUGGGAAUCCAGGCAACCCACCCACUUGUUUCCAGGGUUCCUCUGCUGAAUGUGGCUCUUUGCUGAA